UCUUUGUUAAUUAUAGAGAAAUUGUGGGAAAAACAGAAACACAACACGUACAGAAAAAAGAAAAAAGCCGAGAAAGGAUUAGCCCAAUCUCCUCAGUUUAGGCCUAACGGCCCACACCAUGCAUCUAGUGAUUUCUUUAUGAUUUGAUUUUGGAUUUCUUGUGCUUUAGUUUGUGGAAGUCGACCCAACUCUUCUUCUGCGUUCGGUUUGUUGUUGUUCUUGUUGUACGUUUAUAUGGACAUUGUAUUGCAAACUUCUCUGGUGUUGCAAAUAAAAAUGUCUGAAAAAAGUAUCACAAAUCCUACUUCCCACACCCACAUUGUUUACCCUUAUGUAUCUCUCACCAUGUACUCAUGUCAUCAGACCACCUGCGUGUUAUAUGGUUUCUCAUGGAGACAAAAUCGGAGCAAUGGUAAAAAAAUGGUCAAUCAACUCGCUUUGAACAUCACAAAUUGGGCAAAUUAAGAAGGGAAUCAACACCAAUCCUUCUUGUAUCCAUGUUUGUUCUAGCCGACACCUUGUUUAAAAUCUAUCUCAAAUGAGAUGUUUACUUUGAUCGAGACUAUAUUCUUCCAUCUAGUUGGAUUGCCCCCAUGAUGAAAGUACUUUUGGAUCAGCAAGUGAUUCUUUAGGAUUACAAAGCUUGUAAAAUUCUGCAUCAAUGCUACACAAGUUAUACAGUAAUCCUUCGAGGUAACUACGAAGAGGACAUCUACCUCUCGUUGGCUCACUUUUGAUGUUGUUGCAAGUAUUAAGGAUCCGGAAGCAAAGAUAGUUGAUAGUCAUAUUUACGCUUGCGAUUAUUAAUUUUUAUUGGAGGUCAUUUUAGCAUGUCUCUAUGUUAACAGUUUGAAAUGCACAUCAAAUGUUCGAUGAAAUGCCCGAACAAUAUCUUCUUUGGUGAUGGAUGUGAUCAAAUGAGGUUCACAUAACAAAGUAAGAUCUAUUGGAAUAAAUUUGAAGUAAAAGAAAAACGAAGAACACGUUGAUAUUGCUGAUCAACCAAACACGUUGUCUGACGUUGAUAUUGCAGACCCUACUAGAAUAUCUCAACAAUUUGAUCCACAAAGUGUGGGGGUUGAUUACCAUAAACUUCUUCCACUAUUUAUGAGCUGCAAGUGCCAAAAUUACUUGAACCAUCUCAAACCGAGCAACAGGAGCUGGAGGAGUUUAAAUGAAAAGUUGGAAAAUUGAGGUGGGGAGUUUAUGUAACAACAUGGAUCCACCCAUGUCAUUAGUGCCUUUUUUAUAUAUUAUAAAUAACUAGAAAUUGCCCUCUCCCUGCUUCGCAGACAAGGUUUUGCUUACUAUGUUCUAGUCAUACAAAUGGAAAGUACUAUUAUAAAUCGUUUUAUCAUUUUGUGUGCACUCUUUGGGGGGAUCAAACUUGCCCAUGUAGGAAAGUUUAGGACCAAACCUGCAAAAUUUCUAUUAGGUAGAGACUAUUUUUGUAACUUUUGUAAACAUAUAGACCGUUUCUGUAAAAAAAUAUACAAUGACAUUUUCUGUAAAUUAUUGGGAAAUUUUUUGUAAUUUAGUUUCUAUACAGGGGCCAAACCU